rnacentral:rRNA from 1 species
CACUGGUGUGAUGGAUUCCUACCUUCUGAAUAACCAGCAUGUCAUUAAUUUGGUGCGUUGGGGAAGCAGGACUGUUACCUUGAAAAAAUUAGAGUGCUUAAAGCAGGCUAGUGCCUGAAUACAUUAGCAUGGAAUAAUGAAAUAGGACGGCAUGGUUCUAUUUUGUUGGUUUCUAGGAUCACCGUAAUGAUUAAUAGGGAUAGUUGGGGGCAUUAGUAUUCAAUUGUCAGAGGUGAAAUUCUUGGAUUUAUUGAGGACUAACUUCUGCGAAAGCAUUUGCCAAGGAUGUUUUCAUUAAUCAAGAACGAAAGUUAGGGGAUCGAAGACGAUCAGAUACCGUCGUAGUCUUAACCAUAAACUAUGCCGACUAGGGAUCGGACGAUGUUAAUUUUUUAAUGACUCGUUCGGCGCCUUACG